GACGAAGGAUGCAAGCGUUAUCCGGAUUCAUUGGGUUUAAAGGGCGCGUAGGCGGCCUUCUAAGUCGAACGUGAAAUCCCUGGGCUCAACCCAGGAACUGCGUCCGAUACUGGAAGGCUUGAAUCCGGGAGAGGGAUGCGGAAUUCCAGGUGUAGCGGUGAAAUGCGUAGAUAUCUGGAGGAACACCGGUGGCGAAGGCGGCGUUCUGGACUGUUUCUGACACUGAGGAACGAAAGCCAGGGGAGCAAACGGG
rnacentral:rRNA from 1 species